rnacentral:rRNA from 1 species
UACGUAGGGUGCGAGCGUUGUCCGGAAUUAUUGGGCGUAAAGAGCUUGUAGGCGGUUUGUCGCGUCUGCUGUGAAAAUCCGGGGCUCAACCCCGGACUUGCAGUGGGUACGGGCAGACUAGAGUGUGGUAGGGGAGACUGGAAUUCCUGGUGUAGCGGUGAAAUGCGCAGAUAUCAUGAGGAACACCGGUGGCGAAGGCGGGUCUCUGGGCCGUAACUGACGCUGAGGAGCGAAAGCGUGGGGAGCGAACAGG